rnacentral:misc_RNA from 1 species
CGACCUACGUUGUAUUAUACCGCAUAACUUUCUACUGGAUGUACCGAUUUUGAUAAUUCUUUUUUUGUUGGAAAGGAGAUAUCUCAAGUUUAGUACCAUGAUAAGGAAACCAGGAUCUGAUGAUGGGAUCCCAGAGAAAUUGACGGAAAUUCUUGAAAAUCCGCAAUAACUUUUUACUGGGUGUACCGAUUUUGAUAAUUCUUUUUUUGUUGGAAAGAAGAUAUCCCUAGUUUAGUACCAUGAUAAGGAAACCAGGAUUUGAUGAUGGGAUCCCAGAGAAAUUGAGGAAACUUCUUGAAAAUCCGCAAUAACUUUUUACUGGGUGUACCGAUUUUAAUAAUUUUUAAUUUAAUCGAUAGCUGGUGUUUGUCAUGUUGUCACAUAUAAAUUUUAUUGAGAUCUGAUAACUACUUUUUGAGUAAUCUUUGAUAACGCGUAGUUACUUGACUAUUUUUUCAUCGAUCUACGUUGUAUUACUUGUCGAUGUAAUUGAAGUCGGUUUUUUUUUCGUUUGCGAGCAAACACAAUUAUUUAUUUUAAGGUUAACGGCGUUUUUGACAAUGAACAAUGUGGUUUCACUAAAAGUACGCUCUACGACAGAUGCCGAUGUAACUUCUCAAGCGUACGAGUAUAUAUGACGCUCGGAAGAGGUCACAAUAUCCUAUUGGUAUCUUUUAUGACUUAUCAAAGGCGCGAUUGCGUGGACCACGGGAUUCCAUAAAGUAAGUAAGCUUGAAUAUUAACGGUAAAGCUCUUAAUCUCAUUGAUUCAUAUCUAACUAAUAGCAUUCAAUACGUAUCAAUAAACAAAACGAAGUCUUCUGGAUCCAUACCGAAAAUGGAAGUUUCUCAGGGAUCGAUUCUAGGUCCUUUUCUUUUUUUAAUAUAUAUAAAUGACCUACCAUUUUAUGUUAAGCUUAAUAUUCAGUGCGGGCUUACAAAAAUGAGCAAGAUAUGUGGAUGGAGUGACAUUCCAUUCAUGCAAGAUAUUUAAAACUAAAAUCAAAAAUGUGCCUAUUUUAAUAAAGCUAUUCUUGAUUUUGAAUACUGUGUUAGACGAAAAUAACAGCUUAACCUAUAAUAAUAAUAAAAUAUAAGUCCUUCAGAAGAAAAAAAAAUCUGGGAGGAGUAGCGAAAUGUUUAUAAAUUGUAGUACAAUACGUCAUUGUAUUACGCCGUACGGAAGAGCACCAACAAUAUGAGAGAUCAGAGAUAAUGAUGAUAAUUAAAGUGAGAUAGAUGAUGGAAAUGUAUAAGUCGAACAUUUUACAAGUAGAGAAAAUUUUCUUCAUAUUCAAAUAUUAGUCGAUAAGUAUCGAAGGCUCGUCAUGACACUGGACGCGCGGCACCACCUGGUCAGUGGCCAGCCUCAGCGGCGGCAGCGCCACCAGCGCCUCGCGCCGCCGCGCCCGCCACAGCCGCCGCAGCCCGCCCA